GACGAACGCUGGCGGCGUGCUUAAUACAUGCAAGUCGAGCGAACAGACGAGGCGCUUGUUCGUUUGACGUUAGCGGAGGACGUGUGUAAAACGCGUGUAUCCUCCACUUAUAAGUCUGGGAACAUCACGGGACACCGGCGAUAAUACGGGAUGAUCUACUGAUGCGCGUGGUUCAAUAGUAAGAGUCGGCUUUGCUGGCGGUUGGGGAUGGAUAUGCGCCGCAUCAGCUAGUUGGUGGGGUAGUGGCUUAUGAAGGCUUUGCUGGGUAGCCGGCGUGAGAGGGUGACCGGCCACAUUGGGACUGAGAUACGGCCCAGACUCCUACGGGAGGCAGCAGUGGGGAAUAUUGCACAAUGGGCGGAAGCCUGAUGCAGCAACGCCGCGUGCGGGAUGACGGCCUUCGGGUUGUAAACCGCUUUCGCCUGUGACGAAGCGUGAGUGACGGUAAUGGGUAAAGAAGCACCGGCUAACUACGUG
rnacentral:rRNA from 1 species